rnacentral:rRNA from 1 species
UACGUAGGGGGCGAGCGUUAUCCGGAAUUACUGGGUGUAAAGGGAGCGCAGACGGCAUGGCAAGUCUGAUGUGAAAGGCCGGGGCUCAACCCCGGGAGUGCAUUGGAAACUGUUAAGCUAGAGUGCCGGAGGGGUAAGCGGAAUUCCUAGUGUAGCGGUGAAAUGCGUAGAUAUUAGGAGGAACACCGGUGGCGAAGGCGGCUUACUGGACGGUAACUGACGUUGAGGCUCGAAAGCGUGGGGAGCAAAC